GCCCCAGGUCCGCAGGGCGUGAGCUCAUGAACUCCGUCAGGACCCCGCAGGUAGCAGCGGUAAGUGUGGUAAUCGUUGCUGCGGUUCGCCUGGGGCACU
rnacentral:SRP_RNA from 1 species